GUAGCUUAAUAUAGCCUAAACAAUAUUCAAAGUAGUUAUUCCUUAUCCUGUUGUCAUUUAGGUCUUUCAAUAACAGACUUCAGAGGCAGCAACUCAAGAAAGCAUCUAAGAGGGGCAGGUAAAUUCUCUCUGUGCAUUAUGGUAAAGGGCAUGAACCCAUUCCAAUGUGAAAGUAGGUAGGAAGUAAAGACAAAAUUGGCCUGAGUCUGAGGCCCAAGUCCUUUUAUGAGCCUUGUGAUAUAACAAGAGAAAAGGAGAAAGCCAGAUCCCAUCCCCAAAAAAGAAGGUAACAAGAGGAAGUGGUUUAUGUAAAUUCUUUGGCCACAUCUUUUCUCCCACUAGAAUCAAGUUCUUCUUCUACUUUCACUUUUUCUUUUGAAUAAGAAAUUGCCCCAGUUUCUUAUUUCCCUUGUUAAACAUGCCUGAGGGGUUAGGUUUAUGGCUGAACCAGCCAGUUGUUUCUUGUUCCUUAGCAAGCUCUGCCAUUUGACCAAGGGCAGUCUUUUUUGUUGUCAUGGCAACCAACAUUUACAUAAGCAAGAACUAGGGGAAAACAUUUGUUUGGAAUGAUUUGUGGUAAAUUUCAUUGUAAUGGAAAGAUAAAACACCAACUUGGUGGGCUAGCAGCUAGAAUUGGGAACAACAGGAUGAAUUUUUCCGGUUCUUUUUAGUGAGAUCUAUUUGAUAGGUACCACUAUUGGCUAUCAAAAAAACCCUGAUGUCUAGGAAAAAAGGAAUACAUAUAAUGAUCUUUAGUUCUGUCCUUGAUCACAUUUUCAAUAGCAAUUAGGAUAUGGUGUAUGUGUGGGUGCCUGUUCUUCUAAAGCAGAGGUUAUUGAUCCAGAAUCUUGAUCCCUGGGGAAUCUACAGAUAGACUCAUAAAGGGUGUGGCAGAGACACCUCACUCAAAGCCAUAUUCUUUUCUUCCUGUGCAUCGUACAUUUUCCAGGCUUCCUUGUAUUACAUAUGACCAUGUGAUUGAGUUCAGCCAAUGGACUGUGUACAGAAGUGCCUGUACCACUUUCAGGCCUGGCCUAUAGAAACCUUCCACAGGUGUUCCUCCAUGCUCUUCCUUUCCAUCAGGUGGGAAUGGAGAUGACACCCAGGGCAAAUCCUUCAUCCACCUGAGCCCAAAGUGACUACACAGAGAAGGGCCUCUUUGGCUUGGUGACUGGCUUAAUUAGCAAGAAAUAAACUUUCGUUCAAUCAUAUGUUUUAAGGUCAAAUAGUUACAUUAGUUAGCCUACUCCGACUAAUACAAGGGAGUUGAGUUGGAUAGAUGAGAGGUUGACCAACUGGCAGGUUGUUAGGACCACAUGAUGCCAAAGCUUUGUUGAAAUCAAUAAGAUGCUUCAGGCACCUCAGAUAAAUAACUUUUUAGUGUAUGUCCUAUGUAAUACCUGAAAUUGAAAUUUAACUGGGCAUCCUGUAUUUUUAUUUGCUAAAUCUGGCAGUUCUAUCCCUGGUCUCCCCUUUAGAGAAACACUGCUGCAGGGCUGCUGCUCUUUCCUCCACGGGAACUGAAUUCUUCUGAAGGAAAAACAAUCCAAACUAGGACACCUAGGGCCAACCAGCUCAUUCCGUAGCUCACAUUCUUGUCAUCUUUGCUAAUUGCCCCAAGUGUAAAUCCCCCUAGUCACCUCUCAUUUUGUCACUGGCAUCCUCAAGCUGUACUGGGUCUUCUCUUCUGUCCCCCAUUUUUGUACAUUACUCCAUCUUUGAAGCUUUUGCCAACCUGUUAGGCUCCCUGCCACUUUACUGUUGCCAAUCAAAUUUCUCCUCAUUUAUUAAAGAUUUUUGACGUGUGGCUCACAGUUUCUUCUUGCCAAGGUCUGCUGUCUUCUGGGGUUACCCAUUCAUCACCUAGCUUUUCACUUUAUUGACCACCUCAAAUCCAUUAUCUUGUACUGUUAUAUCCCCGGAAUCUUAAACAUCUUACUCCCUGACCACUACUUUCUAGCCUUCCAGUUCUCUCACUGUCUUCCCAAAGCCUUUGCUCUUCCAUUUCAAGGCACCUUCUAGUUCCUAAACUCUUCAGCUAUCAGCCAUCUACUAUCCUUUUUUUUUCUAGUUAGAUAAUGAAGAAAUACAUAAAAUAUUGUCAGGUCUCAGAUACAUCCAACUGCCCACUGGACACCUUUUGGAUAUCUUGAAGGCACCUCAAAUUCAGUAUAUUCCAAACUGGAUUCAUCAUCCCUUCCCUUAUCUGCCCCUCAUACACAUUCCCUAUCUCAAUGUCUAUCACCGAUUAGCUAAGCCAAAAACCUGGGGACCAUCUUUUAUUCCUUCCUCUCGAGAGUUCAUCACCCCAUUUCUAGUCAUUUACCAAGUCCUAACUCCUGAGCAUCUAAAAUCAGUUUACUUACCUCCAUCCCCACUGCUUCUACCUUAGUUCAAACUGCCAAUGUUUCUCAUCUGGAUCAGCUCAAAAGCCACCUGGGUGCCUUUAGUUUUGGUCCCUCCAAUCCCUUUGUUAUAUUGCAGCCUUAGUGAGCUUUCUAUAAUUUAGAUUAGAUUAGAUUAUAUUCUCCUUCAGCAGAUAUCUAGACUCCCUGCAAAGGGAUACAGAGCUCUUUAUGUUCUAGUUCCUGCUCCUGUCUCCAGCCUCCCCUCUCGUCACUUUCUCUGCUGUACUCUGGACUCUAGCCAUACUGAGUUUGUAUACUUUUUUACCUGACCCACCUGCCCACCCCUCCAGGCUUUCAUACAGUCUGUACCUCUAUCUGGCUCACCUUCGAUUACUAGUCUUACCAGACACUCUGAUUUGGGUUAUGUAUCUGUUCCAUGUCCUCUCUUGGCAAUAUGUGCUUACAGUUGUCACGCUGAACUGAAAUUGCCUGUGCGUGUGUCUGUCACAAGACCAAGACUUCUCAUUGUAUUUCCAACACCCAGCUCUGCUUGACACACAGCAGAUACCCAGGGUAUGUAUUUUGAACAAAAGAAUGAAAACAGGAUAGGUGGGCUAGAGGUCAUCAAAAGCCAAGUGGGAGCAGUGGGUAGUAUUACUCCUAGGGACUUAAAGUUAGUGUCAGUUAGCUUUUGCUGCAAAAGAAACCACAUCAAUACUUAAUGGCUUAAAACAACCAUCAUUUAUCUUAACAAUUCUACAGCUCAGCAGUUUGGGUUGGGUUGGGUUCUGCUGGACAGUUCUUCUGGUCUGGUCUAGUCUCACUGAUGUAUCUGAGGUCAGCUUCUGGUUGGCUGGGGGCUGGCUGGUCUUGGAUGGCCCUCAGCUGACCGAGUUUAGUCUCUGCUUCCUGUGAUCUUCCAUCCUCCAACAGAGCAGCCCACACUGGUUCUCAUGGCUAUUGACAGGGUUCCAAGAGAACAGAUGGAAUCACACAAGGCUUCAUAAGGCCCAGCCUUAGAACUGACACAGUGUCAAUUCCACUGCAUUCUAUUGCUUAAAGCAAGUCAUAAGGCCAGCUCAAAUUCAAGGAGUGAAAAAAUAGAUUUCACCUCUUGAUGGGAGAAGCUAUAUAGUCUUACUGCAAAGGGGUGUGGAUAUAGGAAGAGUGAAGGAUUGUGGCUACUUUUGGAAGCUACACAGCUACCCCAAAGAAACUAUUUGACUAAAAUGUGUGAAGAAGCACAGAUUCCUAGGAAGCAUCAUCACUGGGUGAGUCAAUACCCAAAUGUUCAUAGUUUUUCUUCAUUUUAUUUUGUAACUUGAACAUUUUGCAUGUGUAAUCAUGAUUUUCAGUACCUGCUAAAAUAGGUGUUUGGAACUGGACCAUGGGGACUGUUUGAGAAGAAAGGCACUUGCAAAAAUGUCACUGAGAAUGAAGACUCUGACAGGAAGCUUCAUAAGGGAAGGGGCUGUGUCCACUUUAUUAACUUUUAUCUGUAGCAUCUCACAUGAUUAGCACAUGGAAAGCACUCAGCAAAUAUUUGUUGAACGGUUAAUAGUAAACGUCUAUUUACUGUUGUAAAGGAGAGCUGAAUGUCUAGUCUUAUCUAGCAGUAUGGCUGCGUGUGGACGUGCAGGUGAUGCCCUUUCCAAGGACAUGCCGAGCAAAGAGGAGUGGAGCCGAAAUCCAACCUGCACUGGGCUAGCCAAGAAGCAGGUCUGGUCCCUGGCUUCAUCAACCUGCAGGAGGCAUCAUUUUAAAUUCAAAAGCACAUUUUGCUUGCUAAGCAUUGAGCCCCUAGGGCUACAUAUAUGUGGAAAGGGCACCUAUUUUAUGUCUCAGAAGUGCCCUGUGGGCUAGCAGGGCCCCGAUACUCAACCUCAGGUAGCAGAGAAAUGGUUUCUGAGGAACAUGAGAUGGCACAAAAUGCACAAAGCAAGAAAAGUAAGCACAAAACACUGUUCUUAUAAGUGGAUCAAGAUAAAUGAAUGAGGGAUUGAGAGAACCAGGAGGAAGAAAAAAAGAAAGACUUAGGUUAAUAUGUCUGAAUCGAAUUCAGAAACCAACUGAAAGUUAACAGAUCAGAACAUUGAAGCACCCCAAAUAUGAUUUGUUUCUAUAAAAGGCAAAUCUAUAUAGAGAGAAAAUAGAUUAAUCGUUGCCUGGGGCUGAGAGUAGGAAUGGGGAUUGACUGUAAAUGCGCUCACAGUUUCAUUUUAAGGUGAUGGAAGUGUUCUAAAAUUAGAUUGUGGCCGUAGUUGUACAGUUCUGUAAAUGUACUAAUGGUAUAUUGAAUGGUAUGCUUAAAAUGGGUGGAUUGUAUGGUAUGUAAAUUAUAUCUCAAUAAAACCAUUUU
rnacentral:lncRNA from 1 species